rnacentral:rRNA from 1 species
CAGUCGCCGCGGGAAUACGUAGGGUGCGAGCGUUAAUCGGAAUUACUGGGCGUAAAGCGUGCGCAGGCGGUUAUAUAAGACAGAUGUGAAAUCCCCGAGCUCAACCUGGGACCUGCAUUUGUGACUGUAUAGCUAGAGUACGGUAGAGGGGGAUGGAAUUCCGCGUGUAGCAGUGAAAUGCGUAGAUAUGCGGAGGAACACCGAUGGCGAAGGCAAUCCCCUGGACCUGUACUGACGCUCAUGCACGAAAGCGUGGGGAGCAAACAGGAUUAGAUACCCCAGUAGUCCCUGUCUCUUAUAC